ensembl:snoRNA small nucleolar RNA SNORA2/SNORA34 family
UUGGCCCUAAAUCAAGGCCAUCGGUUUGCUGUAGCCGUUGGUUUCAAAAAGGAGCCCAGAGGAAACGUCUCCCGGUCUGUUGGCGCUCCUGUCCCCGUGGAACGGCCAAUUCGUGUGGGAGUGACAAAA